rnacentral:rRNA from 1 species
UACGUAGGGGGCUAGCGUUGUCCGGAAUCAUUGGGCGUAAAGCGCGUGUAGGCGGUCCGGUAAGUCCGCUGUGAAAGUCGGGGGCUCAACCCUCGGAUGCCGGUGGAUACUGUCGGGCUUGAGUGCGGGAGAGGCGAGUGGAAUUCCUGGUGUAGCGGUGAAAUGCGCAGAUAUCAGGAGGAACACCAAUUGCGAAGGCAGCUCGCUGGAACGUUACUGACGCUGAGACGCGAAAGCGUGGGGAGCAAACAGG